rnacentral:lncRNA from 1 species
UAUUGAGGGUAACGGUUGGUUAUCGCUAUUAAUCCUAAGAUCUAAAAUGAGGGUGAUCAAUCCUGAUUUUAGCACUAAGCUCAACAAGCAUGAAAGAACAAUCAAAACACCUUUUUAACAGUCUUAUUAGUAGCACAUACUUUUAACCUUAAUAAAAAACCUAAGUCUAACAAUUGGGUUUACUCAGACAUAUUCAUGAGAGAGAAACUCAUGUUGGUUUGAAUAAAACUCAAAUGAAAUAUUGAACACAGAAAGUAAGAGU